GGCCUAGCAACAGCCAGGAGCUUGUAAACAGCAGAGAGGAAGCAGCAGAUCUGGUCACCGCCUUCCCCAGCCCAUUCAGCACCUUGCAAAGAGCAAGACUCUUCCAUUGAGCAUUUCGCUCCGUGCCCCACGCUUCCCAACUCCUGCAGCUCUGGCGCCCUGAAGGCAGGCCGUGGGGAGCUGCAGAGGCUGCAGGAUGCCAGCACUGCCGUCCUGGAAAGGCUUAUGGGGCUGGAGGCUGAGGUCAAGUAUGUCAGCACUGAGCUGCGUGCAGAGAAAUUACUGUGGAGCAGCAGGUACCUGGAGCUGCUGAGGGAGCAGCAGGAGCUCCGUGAACAGUUCCAGGAGUGGGGACGGAGCCGGGGGCCCGAGGCCAAGGACACCCUGGAGAUGCAGAGCAAAGCUGAGGCUCCCAGUGCGGAUGGAUCGGAUGGGUGGUGCAUGGGAGACAGCGGCUGGGGCCUCCAGACGC